rnacentral:rRNA from 1 species
AUUGAACGCUGGCGGCAGGCCUAACACAUGCAAGUCGAGCGAGCGGCGGACGGGGGAGUAAUGUCUGGGAAACUGCCUGAGGGAGGGGGAUAAAUACUGGAAACGGUAGCUAAUAUAGCAUACCAUCAGAUGUGCGCAGAUGGGGUUAGCUAGUAGGUGUGGUAACGGCUCACAACGGCGACGAUCCCUAUCUGGUCUGAGAGGAUGACCAGCCACACUGGAACUGAGACACGGUCCAGACUCCUACGGGAGGCAGAAGUGGGGAAUAUUGCACAAUGGGGGCAAGCCUGAUGCAGCCAUGCCGCGUGUGGGAAGAAGGCCUUCGGGUUGUAAAGCACUUUCAGCGGGGAGGCGUUACCCGCAGAAUAAGCACCGGCUAACUCCGUGCCAGCAGCCGCGGUAAUUC